GCCCCUAUAGCUCAGCCAGGACAGAGCAGUGGUUUCCUAAACCAUGUGUCGCAGGUUCAAAUCCUGCUAGGGGUA
rnacentral:tRNA from 1 species